rnacentral:sRNA from 1 species
UUUGGACGGUUGAAUCAUCAAAAAAAUAAAAAAAAAAAAUCUGUUUCAUUCAACCGUCCAAA